CCUUGCUUCAAGUAUACUUCCCUAGAAUUCUGGCUCUCUACAAUACACUAUUGACUAAAUGGAAAGAACAAUAAUAAAAAAAUGAAAUUGAAACCUGUUCAAUUAUAAUGGCUCCAGGCUGGUCCCCCUAGGUUCCCCAUGAAUAACUGAGUCCCAGUGGACGGGACAAGUGGCACCCAAUGUGGGGGGCAAGAGGUGAGGACCCUUGCCAGGCGGACCCCGAAGAAUCGUCUGGACCCCGAAGAAAUCACAAGGAUCCCCUUCUGUCCUUGAGCUGGCUCCAGCAAAUCUUUGAGCCUGACCCUGAAGUCUUGCGUGAAAAGUGAGAAAAUGGGGAAAAGUCCUUAAAGCACUAAAGACCAUUAAGCGCCAUGAUGAAUUUAGGUUUUUCAAGAAGCUAUCACAAGAGUGAUUCAGAGAGUAGCUACCUUCAUUUCCCUCUGUAUCAUAUCUUAAGUAAAUGGAUAUUUAAUUAUAAUAGACUGGACUGGAGGAACCAAGGGAAUCCCAGUGAUAGGAAACCAUGGCAGACUGCCACAACCACCAUAAUAACAUUAGUGUUUCUGAAGAAUUUACAGUACAAGCCAAAAGGAAGUCUACCUCCAGAGAAAGCAAGUAGAGUGGGAGAUCUACUAAGUAUCAUCAUAAAGAAGCGAAUGAACCCAUUGUCUUAAUGUUUAUAAACCCAAAGAUCCCUACUGUCAAGAUAAGAAUUACUAUUCAACAAAAACUGGAAAGCAACAUGGCAGAAACUAGGUACAGAACAACAGCUCAUGACAUAUUCCAACAUUUGCUUCAAAUGAAUAUCAUAAAUAAAUUAAAGGAACAAGG
rnacentral:lncRNA from 1 species